GCAAAUCCCGAUACAAACCAGUUGCUGAAGCUAACUAAAACCUCACAGUAAGGCGUUGAUUGAUUUCCUCAACUUAAUGUCACGGAACACCCUAUCAAGCCAAGUUAAGUCGAUGCCCCGCGGUAACCUAUGGAAGGUAAAACAGAUUCCCUAAUAAGAUCAUCGUUCGUGAGUUCGUGGUUCGUGAUCAGCUACCAAAUUGAAGUAUAGAGGCUUGUUUACCGGAAUCAGAAUAUACAUACCGCGAUUACAAAAGGUACAGCAGAUAAAGUUCCAAUUAUUCUAGAAAUUUAAUAUGAGAACUAAAUCAAGCGAUAACUUUCACGGUCUUCUCAACUACGAAACAAUUUACAAGCUCAACAGUAGAAUCGGUGCCGUACCCGGCUUCGGACACUCGUGUCUAUAUCAGCAUAAAAAGUCUUCGCGAUUAUUCACUUGAAGAGGUUUAGUAUACCAGAACUCAGCAUUCUUUUUCGCCUCGACGGACUACAUAAUGUAUUUACAUAAUAUCGUUGCAGAAUCUUUUUAACAAGAUGUACGAGGCUCACUGUAAGUAAGGAUCGAAGUAUCCCUGCAAUAUACAUAUUACUCCCACAGAAUAUUUAUCCUCGUCCCAUUAUGGCGUCGACGGUGCCUCGCGGUUUAAAGACUCCGGAAAGGUUUUUACCAAUUUGUCUGAUCGUUGAGGGGCUUUCACGGAUAUUCUUCCAUAACAGGAUCAAACAAUUGAAUUUUGAAAUACAUAUCGGUCGAGCGUGCAUUCCGGUAUGCUGCUACGAAAGGUUUUUACCAAAUUUUUGUAAUGGACAGCGACGGUGUUCAAGAGAAUCCUGACAUCAAGUUACUCGAGUAAAUGUCGUCGAUUGUAUGCGGUAUCAUUUUUUUGAAGUUUGUUAAUCCAGAGAUCACAAUAACUCGGAAUAAGCAUUGGCGUUGCUUUGCGGUUUCACCUCGGAAAUUUUUCACCAGAUAUAAAGUAAGCGUUGACGAUGCUUCCUCUGACAGCAUUUCUCGUGGCAGUGAUCAUAUUUACUCAAUCCAGACAUCCACAGUUUCGCCGCUUACAAUCAUCAUUACAUUAAUGGAGGUAUCUUUCUAACGUUAAAGGAUCAUGAGAGUAACGAGUGGAAGAUUUUGUUUGAAAUACACAGAGGAAGUUUCGCAACACUCCGCUAAUCAAUGUUUGUAUCAAUUUCAAGUCAGCAUCGGCGGUGCUCGAUGGUUAAUUUCGGAAUCCGGUUCGCAGAAUUAUAAACUUCAGAUCACGGAGGUUGCAGUACUUUAACUACGCAAGGUUUACACUAAUUUAUUGUAGAAAAUAUAACCGGUCCUUAGCGAUUUCAAAAUGAAGAGAAGUUCGAGUGUACGAGUAUAAUAAACGCGGAGAUAUUGAUACAGUAAAAAGCGCCGUCGGUGACAGAUUACCAGCGUGGUAAAGGUAUUGAGUGUAAAUUUUAGUAGCAUGUUUUCGAUAUGUUUGUACGUCACAGAAUGACUCCACUAAUAAUUUUGAUGAACAGCAUGAAGACUACAAAAGGUGCAGGUUAUAAAAAGUCUUAUUUAGAAUUCCAGCUUCCUGUUAUCACUGUUGUCGUCUACAUGUCACACUUUAGAUGGUACUGCAAUCUUGGUUUUAACAUUUAGAGCUUUAAUCAAACAUAAUAAUAUAAUUAUUGUCAUCCUGUGUAGGUGCACUUGCUAAAUCUGAUAGAGCCUACGAAACGCAUGCUUCACCAUGAAAUGAAAUAAAUAUAAAUUGGAUUGGAGUUCGAAGUUUUCGACUACAUCCCAAGGUACACAAUUUGGCUUUGAUAAAUAAAUUCAAACUAGAGAUUCCUGAUGCCUAUCCGAGACAAGAAAAUCUACUCAUGCACCGGUGGAAGCAUUAAGUAUUAAACACUUGGGUAUAUAUUUUAAUAACAAUUUUUCAUAUAAUUUUGAAUUAAAAAUAUUUACGUUUUCUUAUUCUUGAUGCCUAUUUAUGUGGUUUUAUCUAGACGUGGUAUGAAUUAAUUUAAGGCCUUAACUAUUUUGUCCGUUUUGAACAUAUAGCUUGCUUUAAACCUGGUGCUUGCAGACACGAUUGAAGAGUUUUCAUUAUCGGAAAGGUGUUGAAAUGUGAAUUUCUAAAUAUGGUAUGAAUAACUUUAAGGCCUUAACUAUUUUGUCCGUUUUUUAAAUAUAGCUUGCUUUAAACCUGGUGCUUGAAUGGAGAUAAUUGAAGAGUUGUCACUGUUGGAAAGGUAUUGAAAUGCGAUCUUCUCCUUAGCAUGUUUGGAUGGAUCUGUUUCGAGGAGUUCACUCUAAUCUUGCAUAAACUUGCCAAGCAAAGCGUAGCUGUAGAUAACCUUGUCGACGCUAAUUAAUGUGUAAGUAAUUGUGUCACGUGAUUGUUAACUGUAGUUUUCAAAACAUCAAGUGCAGCAUCACAUAAAAUAGGCGGCUUCUAAUGCUAAUGGGUAUCAAUGUAAGUGUAAAUUAACUUUUAGAAACCGACCUAAUUCAGAAGUUCAACACUGUUGUUUGUCUUCUUAUUAAUACCUACGUAAAUAGUUACUGCAUCUACUAUAACUAUUGUAGCGGUUUGUUUUGGCUUGUACGUGUUGUUUUCUUCUAAACUGCAAUUCUGAUUGUCCUUUUUGGCUUCUGUCCCCAAAAUCUGAAUUUAGAUAUGUUCUCGUUGUUAGAGAAUCGGCUUUAAAACAAAGGGUACAAAAUAUUUUUAAUUUAUAUGUAAAGAGCGAUAAAUGAAUUUUUAUAAAAAAUCUUAGCUAAGUAUAAGAUUUAUAACGGGAGAUACUGUAUAAAUCUUCUUAAUUACGUCGUCAUUAAAACAAAACUUUAUAUUUAAAUAUAAAAUUCUUCUGUGAAACUAAAUGACUGUACAUUUGAAAUCCUCACAUCCAACAUUUGGAUAUAUUUUAUGCUUGAGCUCCGUUUUUCAAUUGACAGUACCCAGCAUAAAAUACAAUAAUAAUUCUAUGCUAGCUAUUGAAGCUUUUGAUUACUAGCAUCAAUAUGCAAUAAUGUAUCUAAAUGUGGGCUACAUUUUACUUUAAUAUUAUUUUUGUUUGUUUUUCAAUAGUAUUUUAUUCAUUACACUGUACAGGUCCAGAUAAUAACUAGAAAUUCAAUUUUAUGUUAACUAUGCCUAUAAAUUAUUAAUAAGGUGUUAGCAAUCGAAAACCAUAAAACAAAACCACAAGACAAGACGUAAGAAGAAGAAUAUAAAUCAUCAAUGAACAAAUGAAAACAUUUUGGAAACUAGAAAAUACAAAAUAUUUUUUAGGCAAAUAUUAUAAUUUAUAAAUAAUUUAAUAAAGGUAAUAAAUUAUGCGAUAAUUAUAUAAACUAGAUGAUAUACGGACAGAUAAUAAGUACAAUAAAUUAUUUUAGUAUUAAGUUUGGUUGAAAGUAGGUAAAAUUAUUCUGUUUUAGGAUAAGAAAAUAAAUAAUUUACUCUUGUUACAGAUUCUUAUAAAAAAUAUUUUAGGUACCGAUAAGUACGUUAAAUAACGAAUGUUCUUUUAGAACUUGCCACAUUAGGAUUUAUGACAAUAACAGUUGGUUAAGUUUGUACAAAAAUGUUUCUAAACUUUUCAGAAUCAUUAUUCCUACGUACUAGGUCGUUAGAACCGGGCGAUGAUACUAGGUAAAGCUAAUUUGUUAUCAGGCAGGGUAAGGUAAAAAUAUUACUUUUAUCAUUUGACAAACAAUUGGCUUUAAAUUCACACUAAAAAAGGUGAUGCCUGUGGAGUUUCUUGCGCCGCUUCUUCUCCACAGAAGAACACCUUCCGAAGCGGUGGUAGAUUUUUUCCAAAUUCAAAAAAUAUAUAAAAUGUAAAAGAUAUAAUAUAAUUGAUGAAACAGAAAUAAAAAGUUAAUUUGAGCAUA